UCGGGCCUACGGGAGGCAGCAGUAGGGAAUUUUCGUCAAUGGGCGCAAGCCUGAACGAGCAAUGCCGCGUGAACGAGGAAGGUCUUCGGAUCGUAAAGUUCUGUUGAAGGGGAAAAAGAGCGGAGAGAGGAAAUGGUCUCCGAUUGAUAUUACCCUUCGAGGAAGUCACGGCUAACUACGUGCCAGCAGCCGCGGUAAUACGUAGGAUGCGAGCGUUAUCCGGAUUUAUUGGGUUUAAAGGGUGCGCAGGCGGCGAGUUAAGUCAGCGGUAAAAUUUCGGGGCUCAACCCCGACGAGCCGUUGAA
rnacentral:rRNA from 1 species